CAACCCUAAACGCUGGGUAGGGGUCCUAACAGAUGAGAAAACGGAGACUGGGAGAAGUGACCGCUGGGUUACCCAGUUAGUACCUAGAAGAGCGACGAUUCCGCCCUAAAUGUGACUCCUUCAGCUCCUAAGAAGAAUUCAAGGAGAAAGCUAUGAGAAGAAAGGAUUUAUUUGUUCUGUUGUUUUACAGGCAAGCACAAGCGCUGGAGAGGAGAGGACAGCAGCACAGGUGGAAACAAUGGAGAAGCAAAAAGUGAAGUGAGGGCAAGAGCCGAGAAGAAAAGAACCCGGGGGAUGUAAAGCAAAAAAAGAUUUAGAAACUCUUCGAGUUCGGCGAGGGCUGGGAGACCUAAAAACUAUUUCAAGAAAGAAAACGGAAGGAAAGAGGCAAGGGCCUGCGGGCGAGAGGCCCCACCCCUAACCGCUCGGGCAGACAGCCCCUCCCCCGAGGGGAGGAGGGACUUCCUCCCUGCGGGCAGCUGCUUCCGGUGGAGUCCGGAAGACGCUACCGGGAAGGGACUAAGACUGCGCAGCCAAUCGGGGCGACACUUUCGUCUUACCGGAGGACUCGUGGGUAACUUGCUCUUGGGAACCAGCACCAUGGCGUCUGGCUGCAAGAUUGGCCCGUCCAUCCUUAACAGCGAUUUGGCCAAUUUAGGGGCUGAGUGCCUCCGGAUGCUGGACUCUGGGGCCGAUUAUUUGCACCUGGAUGCACCCUGCUCUUCAGGGAGGUCAGUUUUUUUGCAUUUUGUUCCCAACAUCACCUUUGGGCACCCUGUGGUAGAAAGCCUCCGAAAGCAGCUAGGCCAGGACCCUUUCUUUGAUAUGCACAUGAUGGUGUCCAGGCCGGAACAGUGGGUAAAACCAAUGGCUGUAGCAGGAGCCAAUCAAUAUACCUUUCAUCUUGAGGCUACUGAGAACCCUGGGGCUUUGAUAAAAGACAUUCGGGAGAAUGGGAUGAAGGUUGGCCUUGCCAUCAAACCAGGAACUACAGUUGAGUAUUUGGCACCAUGGGCGAAUCAGAUAGAUAUGGCCUUGGUUAUGACAGUGGAACCUGGGUUUGGAGGGCAGAAAUUCAUGGAAGAUAUGAUGCCAAAGGUUCAUUGGUUGAGGACCCAGUUCCCGUCCUUGGACAUAGAGGUCGAUGGUGGAGUAGGUCCUGACACUAUCCAUAAAUGUGCAGAGGCAGGAGCUAACAUGAUUGUGUCUGGCAGUGCCAUUAUGAGGAGUGAUGACCCCAGAUCUGUGAUCAACCUGUUAAGAAAUGUUUGCUCAGAAGCUGCUCAGAAACGUUCUCUUGAUCGAUGAAACCGUGAGGAGUCCAGUGUUUAUGCUCAUGAAAUCUUUCUCCUGGAAAACAAGAAUAUCGACUACCAAAACAUACCACAGUUGAAGCAGGGCUGUUUCUCUGAGCGGCUGUUCAUUCCAGUGACUAAAAUCUAUCCUGCAGAAUGUUCCAAGAGGUUAGAAAUUGCAGAACCAGAUGGCUGAGGAUAUUCUGGACGUUAUGGAUUUUGACCCCAAGGAUAUAUAUUAUAUUAAUCCAACAAAGACCAGGUAGGCUAAAAGAUGAUAAGGUAGAGUUAAUCCAUAAAUAUUUAAAGUUGUGUCCCAAAUUAUACUUUGACAACAAAUAUGUAUCUGCCACUUGCAAAUAGUCUUGAUAUAUGGCAAGAAAUAACAGGACCUAAACUUUAGGCUACUAUGAGUUUUGAGAAAUAAAAAGUUUGAAAAAUAAGAACAUUAACACUUCUGCAUAGAAUAGAGCUUGCUUGUUUUUUUCCUAUACUACAGUGUAAAAAUUUGUUUUUGACUUAGGAAAGGUUUGUGCCAUGAACAGGUGCCGUUUAAUCAAAUCAGACAACACGAGGCAUAUAGAAAUAACUUUAAUUAAAAAACUUACAUAGAAGAUUAUAAUGUCAGACAUGACAAAAAGAUUUGAGCUUAUUUGCCUAGACAACUUGGGUUUGUCUGGCUUUUGUUUUCUUUUUAAAAAAUAAAUGUACAGUAAAACUACAAGCAAAAAUUUGUCAGUUUUGAAUUUGAAUUUUUUUCCUUCUUUAAAGGGACUAGUAGAAUUCCCCAUCCCUAGCAAAAACUUGGUGUCAGUCCCCCAGACUAGGCCAGGUGGCCAGGAUUGUCAGUUAUAUGGGGACUAUAACUUGAAUAACCUUUUUUUUUACAUGAGAGAAAGCGAUUCAUAAAUUGUCCUCAACUUUUAUAUAGAAAAAAUUAUGUAAUAGCUUCAAGAAGUUUCUUUAAUGUAUACUGUAUUCAGUACUGAAGCACUAUCCUUUAAAAAAAUUUCUCACUCUAGCAUACACAUGAGAAUAGAUUGGAUAGAGUAAGCUAAUGGUAAGGAAUGACCAAAUUAACUAGAAAUACAACAUUUUUUACUUUCCUAUUUGUUGCUCAUUUUCACUUGGGGUCUUCUCUUCAUGAGAUACAUAGGAUAGAUAAAACUCAAGUUUUAAAAUUAGACCAGUAUUUAACUCUGCUUUGCUUGUCUUAAUCCGUUAGGAGUGAAUAGAAGAUGAUCUGAAUUUAGUCCAACAGAUAACAGUGAUUUCAAAUAAAGGCAUAUUGUGUUAUCUGGUAUAGAAAUUUCCACAUAUAACUUCUAUUGGUUAAACAUGUUUAAAAUCUCCAUAAUCACUGGGAACCUGUGCUUUACAGUGCAGCUUACAUUCCAUGGGAUAAUUCAUCCAUGCAUUUCAAGUGGAGUGGUCACUGCCAGUGUUUUUUAAAACUACGUGUGUGUACAUGUAUGUGUAUAUACUCUAUACACACAUAUUUGUAUAUUCCCAUAUACAAAGGCAUAUAUUUGAGGCAACUUUAAUGAAUUACCAUAGAAAUUACAUAGAAAUGUAUAGGAAAAAGAGCGAUCAUUGAUGCACAGGUGUUUCUGUGUGUGUACAUAUGUAUGUGUGGGUAUGAAGUCUUUUAAAAAUUAUUUACCCAGUAAUACGAUUUAACAUCAGCUUGCAGCAGUUAAUUUUCUGGUGCUUGUGAUUUGCAUCAUAAACACAAACGACUAGCACUUGUCUGUAGGUGAAAAGCUAGUUAUUCCUGUGGUUCAAGGAAAAAGAGACCUACCUUGCCUGUUUUAAAACAGCAUAAAAGAUUAAUACAUGCAGUACAUGCUCUUACUCUGGGAUUGUGGCUGAGGGGGUGGGGGAUGGAGAACAGGGCUUAUUUUUUCCUCCUGCUUUCCAUUCAGUUACAUACUUUUUUAACCUUUCCCUGUCACCUGUUUUUUUUAACAUGAGUAAGUCCUAGACCAAAAGGUUUGCCUUCUUCCAUUUCAUCCAUCUGCCUUUUUGGAUGGUGACCGUUUUCUGGUGCACUAGUACAGAAGACUUCUCCACGGAAAACGGGGCUUGAACUUUCACUAUGAUCCUUUUUUUCAUCUUGACAUAGUAAGGCUUCUGUGUCUUCAUCCUUCAGCGGAAAAGUCCGUCGUUCCCACCACAAAGACUGAAAGAAAGCGAAAACCUUUUCAGUUAAGUUUCAACUAAUUUGUUUAAAGUUCAUGUAUCCAAUAAUCCUUAAAUGUCAAUUGUGUAAUUAUUGUUUGGUCCUUCAGCACGUCAAUGUACACAUUUUCAUUUGGGCCUAAAGAUCUAGCAACUCCAGUGGAACAUACUGGCAAUUGUUUAGAGACCUUUGGGAACUAUCCUUUCACUUCACCCUCCCACAAAGAGGAAACGCCGCUAUAAGGCACGGGUCUUCCUUAUCAGCACAGGAGCGCUUUGGGAAAAGCCCCUUUAAAGGUGUUUGAUCUACUUGAGUGUCUCCGUUUUCAUCCCAUAACUAUCACAGACACCUACUGACUUUUCCUUCCCUGAGCUUUCUACGACUUGCCUAUUAAUUUUUAUAGUUUCUGCUCUGUGUUCUAGAUACAGUUCUUUUUCAACACCUACUUAUGAAGAACAGUGCAAAAAUUUAUAGAUGGUGUGUUAGAAAUCAUUCCCUGGGAGGUAAGAACUGGAUCCACGGGGAGACAGGUAAAAAUCUGUUAUGAAGGGAAGAGAACUAGCUGACAUUUGCUGUGUGCCAGGUGCUGUUCUCUCUAAUCAGAUUGGUGUCAUCAUGAAACUUGGAUAGAAUCCCCAUUUCCUAACAGAUAAGUGAGUAGGUGGAGUUAGGUACUGACAUGUUCUACAAAAAGAUAAGGUGUGUAUGAUCAGUGACAGAACUAGAAAGUUGGCAUACAUAUCCUCUGAUCUGUACCCAGCAAUUAACAGUGGAUUGUUAUGCUGAAUUUGUUAAUUGGCAACCAGCAGGUUUCUACAAACAGGUUUUCAAAAGGGUAAAAGGCAUUGAAAAAGAGGUGUCACAGGUCAUGUAUAUCAUCUCAUACUUACCUUGAGUUCUUGACUUUGAUUUAAGGAAGGUGAGCCCCGUGUGCCCAGAUUCUGGCUCUGCGGAGAAGGCUCGGCAGGACUCUCGGCAGCACAGUGCUGACCACCACCAAGGUCGUUAGGGUAUUCUUUCAAGAGCAAGUCCUGUCCUUCAACGUUUCUACUGUAAGCUCUAGCAAGAAAAUCAAGAAAAUAUUUAAUUACUAUUUCUUGAGGUCUUAACGUUUUAUGAACGACCCCUAAGUCCAUUUAACUUGGUAGCUUUUCUUUAAACAGUUCUGCCCAAAAGAUUUCUAAAAAUUCAUCUGUCAAUCUUCCUGAUGCUUUCUCAAAGACUUAAACAGUAUGUUAUGAAUACUAUUUUAUGAAACUGCCAAAUUAUAAUAGUGGGUUUCGGGUUUUCAAGGAGGGAGUUUUUGUUGUCUUAUUUUUAAAUAAGAAAGGACAGUUACUUGACCCUUACAGUCUUUCAGAGUUCCCAGAGUAUUCUAAGACUAUUAUAAUGUCAUCCAUGUAAGACUCGAUUCACAUUUUCCUCUGUACUUCUAGAAAAUUAUAUCUCUGGAAUGUGGAGAAAGAAGACAAUUGAGUCUUAUAUGUGUGUUAAGAUAACUCUUGGAAUAAGGAUCUACAAGAAAUCUGGGUAUUUUCAGACCUAAAGAGAGAAAUGUGUUUUCAAAAUACAGUUGAGGGGCACCUGGCUGGCUUAGUAGAGCAUGUAACUCUUGAUCUCGGGGUUGUGAGUUCGAGCCCCACAUUGGGUGUAGCGAUUACUUAAAUAAAAGUACAGCUGACCCUUGAUGAACACAGGAGUUGGGAGCACCAACCACUUUGUGCAUUCAAAAAUUCACAUAUAACUUUUGACUCCCUCAAAACUUAACUAUUAAUAGCUGACUGUUGACCAGGAAACCUUACCAGUAAUAUAAACCAGUCAAGUCACACAUUUUGUAUAUGUAUUAUAUACUGUAUUCUUACAGUAAAGUAAGCUAGAAAAAUGAAAUUUAUUAAAAUCGUAAGGAAGAGAAAAUACAUUUAUAGUACUGUACUAUUAAAAAUCUGUGUGUAAGUGGGCCCACAUAGUUCAGACCACAAAGUUCAAACCUGUGUUUGAGGGUCAACUGUACUAAGUAAAUGAGAGGUGCCCCCACACUAAAUAUAGUGACUACCCAGACUUCAUGAUCUUCCUUUCUGAGUUUCGGCUGUAUUAAAACACAGUGAAAUGUAAAUAUAAAAUACCGUGGACUUUCUCAAAUAUAUAAUUACUAAUUACGUUCUCAGGAUUUAAUCCUCCCUCCCCAAAAAUCAUAUUCAAAGUAUUUUAGACCAGGUGCUUUUUGUCUUUUAAUUUUUUAAAUGUUUACUUAUUUUGAGAGAGAGAGGCAGAAUACGAGCAGGGGAAGGGCAGAGAGAAAGGGAGACAUGGAAUCCAAAGCAGGCUCUGAGCUGUCAGCACAGAGCCUGACGCAGGGCUGGAACCCAUGAACCUUGAGAUCAUGACCUGAGCUGCACUCAGUCACUUAACCGAUUGAGCCACCCAGGUGCCCUAGACCAUCUGCUUCUUAGACUGGACAGGUUUUUUUGAGAAAAUUUUUUAAGAAAAAAUAAUGUAUUUUUUAAGUGGGCAUGUUAAAAUCGAUCAUCAAGAUUCUAAUCCCUAGUGUAAGGUCUGCUAUUACAGUACAAUGAGAUGACCUACUUUAGGGAGAAUUUUCACAUUAUUUGCUGAGUUAAAUCUGUUCCUCAGGCUGACAAUAAGCAUGAGAAAUGAGAGUGGAGGAAAAUACAGAAACUCAUUUCAUUACUCUGUAAUUAGCCAAAAUGUAUAUAUAUAUUUAUUUUGACAGACAGCACGAGUGGGGGAGGGAGACAGAAUCCCAAGGAGGCUUUGCGCUAUCAGUGUGGACCCCAAUGCGGAGCUCAAUCUCACAAACCUGUGAGAUCAUGACUUGAGCCAAAAUCAAAAGAGCUGGACGCUUAACUGAGCCAUCCAGGAGCCCCAGCCAAAAUAUAUUUUGAAUGUAAGCUCAGUAAAUGCAGUGUUUCCCUCCUGUGCACAAAUAACUGAUGUUAUACAGUAUAUACUUUUUCCUUUCUAGUGUCUUCCUCAAUAUUCAUGCAGAAUUUUGUUAAUUCUACAUGGAUUUCAUGGUUUUGGCUUUUAAAUUGAUAACACCUGCCUGCUGUUUCUUCUGUGCCACUUGCUUUGCUCCCAUAGUGACCAUCUGGCUUGCUCUCUCUCUUCAUAUUUUUUGUGUCUUAGGGAGAAGACUUCAUCAGAAAGAUCUUCUACCUGGAAUUAGAAAGUUUUUCUUUUAUCAGAAACAUUUUGAAAUAGAACAAUUUCUCAUCAAGAGAAUAUAGGAAGAAAACUCUAAAAUUGAACUUCAAAUUCGAAAAUAGAGGGAGUGAACUUUUUUUUUUUUUUUAAACUUUUUUACUUCUGGGUCAUAUUUGAAGACUUAACCUAGAUUACAGAUAGGUUCACAGUGCUUUGUAUAAAAAAUUCUUAAUGCUUAAUUCAUUCAAAGGUUUGUAUUUGAUUGCCCUUUAUGGAAUACACUGUUCUCUUAACAUGUUAAUAUCAAAGAAAAGUAAAACUGAAAAAAAAGAAAAUUAUUUUAACUAAUGACUUAUCAGAGGUUCUAAGACUCUGGUGGUAGUGGUUUAAGAAUUUGGGUUUCCUGGCCAGAACCAUUCUGAACUAGGGAAGAGUGCAUUGAAAAGUUGACUUGGUAGCUGAAGAACAGUCAGUGGGCCUAGAAAGAUUAUGACAGAGACAAAAUGUCUUACAUAAUACAGCUUCUACAGAUCAUCACUUUCAAAUUAAUUUGGUUACACAUUUUUCCCUGAAAUUAUGCUUGUCUUAAUAGAAGUUUUACCCAUACAGGCUCACAGUCCCUUUCCUUCAGUUCUAAAAAUCUGAAAAAACACGUGUUCAUAAUUCAUUUGGUGACAUAGCCCGUUCUGGAAUGAUGAGGUUAUUCCAAUUUCUAUAAAUAUUUCCCUACAGAAACAUUAAUAUUUGAUUAUGAGAACUAUGCUAGACUCCACAUAUGUCUUCUUUCUUAAGUCCAAAGUUUUCCAAAUUCAAAAGCAACCUGUUCCCAAGGUUUUGAAUAUGGCAUUGUAGGGUUGAAUAUUAAGACCACAUCUCCUUAAACAGAAAAACAGGACUAAUAACUGGAAAUGAAUAUAGAUAUUAACAUAAAUUCAGUGUUUCAACAGUUCAUGUAAGCAACUGACAUGUUUUUCUUUAUAUGUUACUGUCUUUGCAAAUCUAAAUUUGCACAAAAACAUUUUCCUAAUGAAGUUAAUAUCCUUAAUGAACUUUCUUUUCCUAAGUGAAAAACAAGUCAAUGUAUGCUAAAGGGCUUAUAUUUCCCUUGAGUUCCUCAAGUCCCAAAUUAAGCAGGCUUCGUAAUGUAUACAGUGCAGUUAUCCGUAAGUGAAAGGCAACUUACCUCUUCACCUACGUCAUAUUCAUCCAGAGGCUGAAGAACAGCCAUUCUCCAGCUGUUGAAGAUACAAACCAGUUUCAGCUUAUGUUAAUCUAAGUGUAGCAGUUGUAUUCUCUAAGCACAGCUAAUGCAGUAGUGUUUUCUUUCCUUGGGACUUUCACAAUUCAAAUGGUUGUAUUUUCAUACUUUAUUUUUUUAAAGAGAAAAAUUUCUAUUAUGAAAAGAAGAUGAGACUUUACUUUUGGCCUUACAGUGAAUAACUGUCUCUUCUGUGUAGCUGCAUUUUAUACCUAAGAAUAUACUAAUUUUGAAUUAAGUCAAUAGAUGGUGAUACAGUGGCAGGAAGAAAAAACAAAAACAAAAAAUCCCUCACUUGAGCAUUUGCCAAUUUCUUUGUGUGAAGACACCCGGCAUGGCCUCUUGAGUUUAACCACUGGAUCACAGAAUUCCUCUAUUUAAACAACCAACCCAGCCAGCCAGCCAGCUGCAGCCUACCAAUGUCAAUUGAAAAAACAUCGUUGCUGCAGAACAUCAUAACUACAAAUGGUACUCUGCUUCUGCAGAAUGUCUCAAGUUCUCUGUGGGAUUUCUCAUAAUACCUCCUAGAAUAUUAAGAGUUCUUAAUACCUCAAAGCAAUUAGGAAUAAGAGAAUUCGAAAUCAGCUAAUAUAGAGAGGGGUAGGAAUUACUGUAGUUGUCACUGAGCUUAUGUCUGUUUCCACCCUCUUCUGUCUACUUUCUGGUGCCAGAUUCACAUUCUGAAGAAACUGCUUUCAUCAUUGCUAAAAAACAAAACAAAGCAAGACUUUGACUAACUUCACUGCCACUAGGAAGCAGAUCUGUGUAUGGCAUUCAGGGACCUCCAUAAUCCGGUUCUAUUUCUUUUGUAGCCAUAACUUUAUCACCCUAUACAAAAACUUGGUCUCUAGUUUAGGCUUGCACACUUACCUGUGUGCCUUUGCUGUGGUUUCCCUGUGUGAAUAAACUUUCUUCUUUUUCCCUCCUUCGUGAUGCCCCACUAAUAUAAUGUAUGUAUUGCUGACUUGGCAAUACAUCAGAAUCUUAUUUUUGUGGUCAUAGGUGUUAUUGUCUUGCAGUGAAUACCCCUUGCAAAGGUAGUUGCUUUCUUUGAACCCUUUUUGCAGUCAUUUACAGAACUGCAUGUUAAAGAGCCAGGGUUAUUUAUUACUAAGCUUAUUUACAUCCCUAAAUAGCCUUUAGUGCCAUAUAUACAUAAAAGGUAACU